rfam:Gammaproteobacteria bacterium RIFCSPHIGHO2_12_FTLL_42_13 rifcsphigho2_12_scaffold_8650, whole genome shotgun sequence.
CCGUUUAUGUCACUAAAUGAACCUAGGGGUAUGAAUAAAGAGCUAUCCUGACAACGCAGCAAUGCACACGCAUGGGAAGGAAUCGCGAGAAGAAUUUCUUUCUGGUAACCACAAACCGGAUAUGCUG